CAAACGGACCGCCAAACAGGGCCUAAGAAUGGACUUCGGAGCAACCCUUCGAGACCCCAUCUCCCAGUCCUAUUGAUUUACCCGUCCUCCUCCCGCUGCCUUUCCAGCGACGGCGCCUGACCGGAACAAUCGAUCCGUCGGAGCUCUUACUUAUCGAAUCGCCAUUGACGCUUCUAGCUUCCUCGGCCGUCGUCAUCUGCAACCUCUUCCAGUAUACAAAUGAGAACAAAGCAAACAAACGAGGAAUACAACCAGAGUUUAGGAGACAUUGAACAUGAAUAUGAUAUUGUCAGGGAGGGAGGACAACUAAACCCAACUGCUCAUCCAUGCUGCAAGCCAGAGACAAUGAAAUUUGCAGGUCUUCUCACUGCCAUGGAAAUCUUAACUAGUUAGCCAGAGUUGUUUGUAUUUUUUCUGUGUUCAUGCUCUUCUUUAGGGGAGAGAGAGAGAGAGAAGUGGGAUUGAUUUGUUUUGGGGUGUAUUUGAUAGGAAACUUCCAAAUAGAGAUGGAGAGUGUGAUUGAAACUGAAUGUUCCAUGUGUCCAGUUUCUUUGCUUUCCCAUAUAUCUUGGAAGUUUCCCUUGUAGUUGAUUUUGAGCAAAGCUAACUAACUCUAAUCUGUUUCCUUUGUUGUA